rnacentral:rRNA from 1 species
UACGGAGGGAGCUAGCGUUGUUCGGAAUUACUGGGCGUAAAGCGCACGUAGGCGGCUUUGUAAGUUAGAGGUGAAAGCCCGGGGCUCAACUCCGGAACUGCCUUUAAGACUGCAUCGCUUGAAUCCAGGAGAGGUGAGUGGAAUUCCGAGUGUAGAGGUGAAAUUCGUAGAUAUUCGGAAGAACACCGGUGGCGAAGGCGGCCACCUGGACAGCGACUGACGCUAAGACGCGAAAGCGUGGGGAGCGAACAGG